rnacentral:rRNA from 1 species
UAAGGAAUAUUGCUCAAUGGACGCAAGUCUGAACCAGCCAUGCCGCGUGGAGGAUGAAGGUCCUCUGGAUUGUAAACUUCUUUUAUCUGGGACGAAACACUUCUUUUCUAAGAGGCCUGACGGUACCAGAUGAAUAAGCACCGGCUAACUCCGUGCCAGCAGCCGCGGUAAUACGGAGGGUGCAAGCGUUAUCCGGAUUCACUGGGUUUAAAGGGUGCGUAGGUGGGUAUGUAAGUCAGUGGUGAAAUCCCCGAGCUUAACUUGGGAACUGCCAUUGAUACUAUAUAUCUUGAAUACCGUAGAGGUAAGCGGAAUAUGUCAUGUAGCGGUGAAAUGCUUAGAUAUGACAUGGAACACCAAUUGCGAAGGCAGCUUACUAUGCGGUGAUUGACACUGAGGCACGAAAGCGUGGGUAGCAAACA